GGCACUAUAGUGUAGUGGUUUAUCACUUGGGAUUUUGAACAUCCGCCCACCUGCCCGCUGCCCCUGUGGGUCGGUGGCUGUCGAUCUUCCCAUAACCCAGGUUCGAACCCUGGUAGUGCCU
rnacentral:tRNA from 1 species